rnacentral:rRNA from 1 species
UAGGGAAUAUUAGAAAUGGACGCAAGUCUGAUCUAGCAACACCGCGUGUGCGAAGAAGGCUUUCGGGUCGUAAAGCACUUUUUGGAAGGAAUAGGAAGGAAUGUACUUCCAGAAUAAGUCUCGGCUAACUACGUGCCAGCAGCCGCGGUAACACGUAGGAGGCAAACGUUAUCCGGAUUUACUGGGCGUAAAGCGCGUGUAGGUGGUACUGUAAGUAGGGCGUGAAAGCUCCUGGCUCAACUGGGAGAGGCCGUUCUAAACUACAGAACUAGAGGAUGGUAGAGGGAGGUGGAAUUCCAGGUGUAGCGGUGGAAUGCGCAGAUAUCUGGAGGAACACCGGUGGCGAAGGCGGCCUCCUGGACCAUUCCUGACUCUCAGACGCGAAAGCUAGGGUAGCAAACGG